GCCUGAGUGACGUACUUCCUGCAGGGGCGGGCUCUCUCCCGGAAAUGGCUUUACUCCACACCCCGGGACUGCGCGCUGCAGCCUGCGAAGUUCGGCAUGAGAGUCCUUGCAAGGGUAGGCGUGGGGCCGCUGUGCUCCGCGGCUCGCGCGGUCAUUCCCUGUUUUUGGAGAGGGAAAUACUUCAGUUCCGGGAGAGAGCCGGCAGAAAACCAGGUGACACCAAUGCUGCGGCAUCUUGUGUACAAAAUCAAAGCAACUGGCCCUAUCACUGUGGCUGAGUACAUGAAGGAGGUCUUGACCAACCCCGCCAAGGGAUAUUACGUGUAUCGUGACAUGCUAGGAGAAAAAGGAGAUUUCAUUACUUCACCGGAAAUAAGUCAGAUCUUUGGGGAGCUGCUAGGUAUAUGGUUCAUUAGUGAAUGGAUGGCCACUGGAAAAAAUGCAGCUUUCCAACUGGUGGAACUGGGCCCAGGCAGGGGUACCCUCUUGGGAGAUAUUUUGAGAGUGUUCAGUCAGCUGGGAUCUGUGCUGAAAAACUGUGACAUUUCAAUACAUCUGGUAGAGGUGAGCGAAAAACUGAGUGAGAUUCAAGCAUUAACACUGACUGAAGAGAAGGUCCCUCUAGAGCGAAAUCCUGGAUCCCCCGCAUAUAUGAAAGGUGUUACUAAAUCUGGGAUUCCAAUUUCCUGGUACCGAGAUCUGCAAGAUGUUCCAAAAGGGUACAGCUUUUAUCUUGCACAUGAAUUUUUUGAUGUUCUUCCUGUGCAUAAGUUUCAGAAAACUCCGCAAGGAUGGCGAGAAGUAUUCAUCGAUAUUGAUCCCCAAGCUUCUGAUAAACUGCGGUUUGUUUUGGCGCCUUGUGUCACCCCAGUGGAAGUCUUCAUACAAAGUGAUGAAACGAGGGAUCACGUGGAAGUGUGUCCUGAAGCUGGUGUAAUUAUUCAGGAACUUUCUCAACGCAUUGCGCUGACUGGAGGGGCUGCGCUGAUUGCCGAUUAUGGUCAUGAUGGGACUAAGACAGACACCUUCAGAGGAUUUUGUGGCCAUAAGCUUCAUGAUGUCCUUAUCGCCCCGGGAACCGCAGACCUAACAGCUGAUGUGGACUUCAGUUAUUUGCGCAGAAUGGCAGAGGGAAAAGUAGCUUCUCUGGGUCCAAUAAAACAACAGACGUUUUUAAAAAACAUGGGCAUUGAUGUCCGGCUGAAGGUUCUUGCAGACAAAUCAGAUGAGCCAUCCAGGCAGCAGUUACUUCAGGGGUAUGAUAUGUUGAUGAAUCCUAAGAAGAUGGGAGAAAGAUUUCACUUUUUUGCCUUGCUACCUCAUCAGAGACUUCAUGGUGGAAGCCAUCCGAUGAAUGCGUGUCAGUCAAAACCUUCUCCGUCACCUGUAGCUGGGUUUGGUGAACUUGCCUGGAGGUGAUAUCUCAAUGUGGACGUUUUACCCCUAAGUCUGCCUAAGAAAGCAAAAUAAAGGGAACCCAUUUACAUAUAUCACAGAUCAUGACCCCCUUGGCCUUCUAUUUGAGGAGGGACCUGGAGAGGAUAUCACGACUGGAGAGGUCAGAAAGAGCCAGCAAAACCUGCUCUGACUGCGGCCCCUCUUCCUGCACGCACCCCUGGCUCCCCCUGCAGUGUUUCUGGAAAACUCCUACCUAUUUUGUAGGUCUGAACUCUCUUCUAUUUUU